GCCCCCGUAGCUCAGGGGAUAGAGCAACGGCCUCCGGAGCCGUGUGCGCAGGUUCGAAUCCUGCCGGGGGCACAA
rnacentral:tRNA from 2 species